rnacentral:rRNA from 1 species
GACAGCAGCCGCCGCGGUAAUACGUAGGUGGCAAGCGUUGUCCGGAAUUAUUGGGCGUAAAGGGCUCGCAGGCGGUUUCUUAAGUCUGAUGUGAAAGCCCCCGGCUCAACCGGGGAGGGUCAUUGGAAACUGGGAAACUUGAGUGCAGAAGAGGAGAGUGGAAUUCCACGUGUAGCGGUGAAAUGCGUAGAGAUGUGGAGGAACACCAGUGGCGAAGGCGACUUUCUGGUCUGUAACUGACGCUGAUGUGCGAAAGCGUGGGGAUCAAACAGGAUUAGAUACCCCUGUAGUCCCUGUCUCUUAUAC